UUCUUUUUCUUACGGGCACAAAAAACCGCCGCUGCAUUUAACCAUCUUAACUAGGGCUCCUCUCUUCCUCCCUUUUCCUUCUCACGCUUAUCGCCUCUGCAAAGUGAUACGGCAAGGGAUCUUCUUCAACAGAAUACAUCCAACAGUUGUCACCACCAUUCCCAGGCAUGUUAGACAUAUACGAAAUAAGACUCAAUAGGACUUCACACCUUUCUCUCCUUGGACAAAGGAGUUUACUUAAGAACUUGACUUGAGCAACAUCCCUUCCGUUACCAAGAGAAACCAUGUUCCCCUACAUACCCCUUUUGAUUUUCAUUCUUCUUUUUAAUGUAAAGCUACGUACCCCACUCCAGGUAAGUUCUUAAAUUUACCCUUCACUUUUCCCUCUUUUUUUUUGUUGAUUUACAAACUACCUUGUAAUAUUUUUCAAUCAAUGUCUGCUGGAAAAAAUUCAAAUGUCUUCCCUAUGACCCUUUAUAAAUUCUUUUCAUUUGUUGGCAUGUGUAGCAAAUGAUCUAGAGUUUGCAGUAACCAACACUUGGCGCUUUUAAAAACUCAUGUAGUCUAUUUCAUAAUAAUUCUGUAGCUUCCUAUACUUGUAGAUUUCCCCAUUUGGUGUCCAACAUGGUUUUGGCAGCCUAAAUGUUACACAAAAUUGCAAUGGUGGUGAAGUCUAAGAAAUGUACUACCAUUUUCUGGAGUCCUAUCGGAAUAUGAACUUGAUUAUUUUAUUGGAGUUGAUAAAAUUAGGAGUGUUCGUAAAGAUAUUUGGUCGAUAUACCACGGUUAAAUUGUUGACGUUACUAUUACUGACUUAUAAAGCUUUUUGUUGCAGGUGUUGCAGCAAAUCAGUACUAAUUCAACCGUGGAAUAUGGAAAUAGAAAAUUCAGAAGGGGUCUUGAUAUUCUUGUGUGUAUACGUGUCGAGUAGAUGCUUGUGUUGUUAGCAUAACACUCAUAGUUGUUCUUAUUACAUUUUUAAUUUAUUUUUCUUUUCAGGUAAAAGAUUGAUUGUUGUAAUUACUUUAAGGUUGUGGGUGACUUAAGAAACAUGACCUAUUUAACCAACCCCCAUAGCUAAGGGACCAUUUUGUCAACUUAUGGCAAACUUAAAGGACCAAAACCGUUAAGUGUAUAGUUAAGAGACUAUUUUGAACCUACUCUCAUAGUUAAGGGACCAUUUUUGUUAACUUGUAACAAACUUAAAGGACUAAAACCGUUAAGUGCAUAGUUAAGGGACUAUUUUGAACCUACUAUUAUAAUUAAGGGAUCAUUUUUGUCCUUUUUUCUCCAGAAUCAAUCAUGCAGAGGUUCCAAAGCAAGAAGAAUCUGUGUCGACCUAAGACUUCAAAGCUCGGCCCCCUUAAGAAAACGGUACGUUAGGAAAAACUGGGGAAGAUUUUAUAAAAGGAGUUCUGGGAACUGAACAACUACUUGGAGUUUUCCGAAACACAAAGAGGGAAACAACUGUGCCAAUGGAGUCUGGACAUUUUUGGGAGAAAACGCAGCACAUUUCUUGAUGUCAAUGAAGACUUUUUUGCUUGAAUCAAAAGACAGACUCAGGCGAUGUAGCAAUGCCAGUACAUAAUAGUUGUCUGAAAAUUAUCAAGUGUAUUCGAAUAUAUAGCAACUUUAUAACUUACAUCUUAGAAUCAAUUUCUUCACAUAUAAACUUCCAGACACAAACAAUGUUAAUAACCAUGUCAUCAUGUGAAUAAAAAUGAGGAAGU